AAUCAUUUAGCCAUUGAUUUCGUUGACUCUUCCGUUGAGUUGCAAUGGAUGUUGAUGACAGACUCGGACAUGGCUGCAACCGCUCAACAGCUGAUGAAGAUAACAAUAGUAUCAGCAGCAGCAAUGGCAAUAAGAAGGACAAGAAAAUCAAAGCGAAGAUGAUGAAAGACGGGAGAUUCUUCAAACAAAAUCAAUAUGAGAUAACUAGAGCAAAGAUUGAAGAAUGGUUCCAUCUUCAUUAGUUCAACAAAAUCAAUAUGGUUAAAUGAUUUGCUCUCUUCCUUCGAUCUUCUUGUUAGUUGUUUUUCUGUUUGGUAUGGUUA
rnacentral:lncRNA from 1 species